AGGGCGAAUGCCUGCAGAACUACAUCGACUAUGAAUCGCCAGGUUGCGGGUUCGAAUCCCGCCGCUGCAACCAUCUGAUGCAGCGUAGCUCAACGGAUAGAGCAGGAACGUUUUGCACUCACCUUGUCGCCCUGAC
rnacentral:Y_RNA from 1 species